GGAUGAUUAGCUCAGUUGGUUAGAGUGCUUGCUUGACAUGCAAGAGGUCACCUGUUCGAGUCAGGUAUUGUCCACCA
rnacentral:tRNA from 1 species